rnacentral:lncRNA from 1 species
GCAGCCUUCAAAUUGUGGUUAAGGUCACCAAACCAAGCGGAUGCCUGGCUUGGGUUUUUGACAGUGGAGUCAGCGACAACAAAGACAACGGAUAAUUAGAGUUCAUUCAAACAUCCUUUGAGAUUUCCAGUAAAUCAUGGAAUUAAAAAAAAAAAGAAAUUACAGAUACAGUAAGAAAAGAAAAAGAGAAGAAAAAACAGUAGAUAAGCCACGCAAAAGUCUUCCUACCAAGAAUCAAGUUCAAAUGACUCAGCUGGUCAAUUUACUAAGACUCUUGUUCGGGAACAAGAAUCAAAGACUUAGAGAUGAUCAGUAACCUGGAGAAGUUAUACAGCAGGAAAAUCUACAUCAUGGAUUUCCCUGUAGAGUCAUGAGACAGGAAUGUGCAAAGCCAAAAGAGACAGCUGGGAAGUGUAGCAGAAGAUCACAAAAUGUAACUACCACCCAAGUGAGAUCUGUUACUCCUCACCAAAAAUUAAGGUAACACCCUUGACGUCACGAUUUGUUUGGAUGCAAUUCUAUUUCAUGUUGAACCAUUAACAUGGAAUGGAAUAAAAUAGAAUGGCUAUAAUUUACUGAGUGCUUAAGGACAGUCUUUAUUAAAAGCAAUUGGAUUAAUAAUCUCUGAAUUGUCAUGAAUCUGCAAGUGUCCAGGAUUUCACAUGAAGAAGAUGAGAGAAGACAACUCAGAGC